UACGAAGGUUGCAAGCGUUACUCGGAAUUACUAGGCGUAAAGGGCAUGUAGGUGGUUUGGUAAGUCUAUUGGGAAAGCUCCCGGCUUAACUGGGAGAGGCCAAUGGAUACUGCCAAGCUUGAGUAUAGGAGAGGUUACUGGAAUUCCCGGUGUAGCGGUGAAAUGCGCAGAUAUCGGGAGGAACACCAAUGGCGAAAGCAGGUAACUGGACUAUUACUGACACUCAAAUGCGAAAGCUAGGGGAGCAAACAGG
rnacentral:rRNA from 1 species